ACUCAAUAGAUACCCAGGUAGUCCACGCCCUAAACGAUGUCUACUAGUUGUCGGGUCUUCAUUGACUUGGUAAACGCAGCUAAACGCGUGAAGUAGACCGCCUGGGGAGUACGGUCGCAAGAUUAAAACUCAAAGGAAUUGACGGGGACCCGCACAAGCGGUGGAUGAUGUGGAUUAAUUCGAUGCAACGCGAAAACCUUACCUACCCUUGACAUGGUCGGAACCCUGAAGAGAUUCGGGGUGGCUCGAAAGAGAACCGAUACACAGGUGCUGCAUGGCUGUCGUCAGCUCGUGUCGUGAGAUGUUGGGUUAAGUCCCGCAACGAGCGCAACCCUUGUCAUUAGUUGCUACGAAAGGGCACUCUAAUGAGACUGCCGGUGACAAACCGGA
rnacentral:rRNA from 1 species